UCGAGCGGCAGCGCGAGUAGUUUACUACUUGGCGGCGAGCGGCGGACGGCUGAGUAACGCGUGGGAACGUACCCCAAAGUGAGGAAUAACUGCCCGAAAGGGUGGCUAAUGCCGCAUAUGGUCUUCGGAUUAAAGGAUUUAUCCGCUUUGGGAACGGCCUGCGUACGAUUAGAUAGUUGGUGGGGUAAAGGCCUACCAAGUCUACGAUCGUUAACUGGUCUGAGAGGAUGAUCAGUCAGACUGGAACUGAGAUACGGUCCAGACUCCUACGGGAGGCAGCAGUGAGGAAUCUUCCACAAUGGACGAAAGUCUGAUGGAGCAACGCCGCGUGCAGGAUGAAGGCCUUCGGGUCGUAAACUGCUUUUAUAAGUGAAGAAUAUGACGGUAGCUUAUGAAUAAGCACCGGCUAACUACGUGCCAGCAGCCGCGGUCAUACGUAGGGUGCAAGCAUUAUCCGGAGUGACUGGGCGUAAAGAGUUGCGUAGGUGGUUUGUUAAGUGAAUUGUGAAAUCUGGUGGCUCAACCACACAGACUAUUAUUCAAACUGACAAACUCGAGAGUAGCAGAGGUAACUGGAAUUUCUAGUGUAGGAGUGAAAUCCGUAGAUAUUAGAAGGAACACCAAUGGCGUAGGCAGGUUACUGGGCUAUUUCUGACACUGAAGCACGAAAGCGUGGGGAGUGAACCGGAUUAGAUACCCGGGUAGUCCACGCCGUAAACGAUGGAUACUAGCUGUUGGAGGUAUCGACCCCUUCAGUAGCGAAGCUAACGCGUUAAGUAUCCCGCCUGUGGAAUACGGUCGCAAGAC
rnacentral:rRNA from 1 species